rnacentral:rRNA from 1 species
AACGAACGCUGGCGGCAGGCUUAACACAUGCAAGUCGAGCGCCCCGCAAGGGGAGCGGCAGACGGGUGAGUAACGCGUGGGAAUCUACCCAUCUCUACGGAACAACUCCGGGAAACUGGAGCUAAUACCGUAUACGUCCUUCGGGAGAAAGAUUUAUCGGAGAUGGAUGAGCCCGCGUUGGAUUAGCUAGUUGGUGGGGUAAUGGCCUACCAAGGCGACGAUCCAUAGCUGGUCUGAGAGGAUGAUCAGCCACACUGGGACUGAGACACGGCCCAGACUCCUACGGGAGGCAGCAGUGGGGAAUAUUGGACAAUGGGCGAAAGCCUGAUCCAGCCAUGCCGCGUGAGUGAUGAAGGCCCUAGGGUUGUAAAGCUCUUUCACCGGUGAAGAUAAUGACGGUAACCGGAGAAGAAGCCCCGGCUAACUUCGUGCCAGCCGCCGCCGUAACAC